UGACGAUUUUUUGCUUUCCAUUCAACGAUUUACAAGUUAACGGUUAUUCUUUUAAAAGUCGACUAUGAAUACUUUGUUUUGGGAUGAUUUGUUUUGUAAUCGAGUGAUCGGAACAAGUUAAUAUGGCGACGUGAACAUGGGAGUUAUUACCGUAUACGUCGAUCUGUGGCUUGUUUAAAACCGUAAUAAACGAAGAAAGACGUGAUAUGAGAAUGAAAUGUAAGUUGAAAUUAACUUUAUAUGCCUCAAAUUUUCCAUCCUAUGUUUCUUAAUGUAACUUCAGCGGUCUAAGUUCAAAAUACAAGCUCGCGAAAUUUGACAAAUUUUGAAAAUAUGUAAAAAUAGCUUGACUUUGAACUGUAUUUUCUCAAAAAUAGCCCGUGGCCUCAAUUUCAAAUAUAGCUAAAUGAAAAGAAAAAACUUUUCGGCGUUUGUAGGUAUCAAACGUAUCGUCAGGAAAAUAGGAGCUCACAAUGUUUUAGCUGAGUCUUUGAGACCCAGUUGCUUCGCACGUGUUGUGGUCAAGUUUUUGCCAAGAAU